rnacentral:lncRNA from 1 species
UAGCCGCAAGGCUUGAGAGGUGAGGGUGAGAAAAAGUCGUAUAAAAGAAUAGAGAAAGGGCGAAAGUAAUCAGUCGAGUGAGUAUCUCCGACACGGUAACAGUUGCAGUGUACUAUUUGCCAUCAGCUGCAUUCUUCAUCGUACAACCAAUUCGCAAUUAUGGUCAUAUAAAAGGAGAGAAAAGGUGAUAGAAAUCAGUCGAGUGAUCAUCUCCGACAUGGCACAACAACUGCGGUGCACUAUUUGCUACCAAAUGCAUUCUUCGUCGUACCACCAGUUUGCUAUCAUGGUCACAAUCGGAAAAAUUUGAUGUUCACGCUUGGAGGUCACAAGAAACAUUUCGUAAAACUGGCAUGCGUGGUGUAGAGGUUUUAGGUGAGAACCGGACGUUUUGCAUCAUUAUCAAAAGUAAACUAUGUCGUCGUGCUGAUGUUGGGUAUCGUAUCGGCUCGGUCAACCACUGGUGUACUGAUGUCUUCUGGGUUUGGCGGGUAUGAAACCGCAACGCCGCACGUUACUACACCGAGGCCCCCAAGUACUACACCACCAAGUCUCCAGAUUAUUACACCACAACUUCGCUGCCCCGAGCAACUACACAGAAUCCCCGAAGUAUUAUUCUUCCCCAAACUAUGCCAUCAAAGGGUCGAGUACUACACCGAGGCCCCUAAUUACUACACCACUACAUAUCAUGGUCGUAUAAUAGGAGAGAAAAGGCGAUAGAUAUUAGUCGAAUUGUUAUCACCGACAUGGCAACAACUGCAGUGCAGUAGUCGUCACCAACUACAUUCUUCGUCGUACUACCAGUUUUGCAAUCAUGGUGAACUAUGGUGUCGUGCUGGUGUUGGGGGACGUAUUGGCUCGGUCGACCACUGGUGUACUGAUGUCUGCUGGGUAUGGCGGGUAUGAAACCACAACGUCGGCGUCUGACUGCAUGACAACAUACGGAACGGCCAGUUACUACACCGCCAUGUGUCCAGAUUAUUACACCACAACUUAUGUUACCCCUAACUGCUUACGCCGAAUCCCCGAAGUAUUAAUCUUCCUCGUGCUACACUACUAAAGGGUCGAGUACUCCGCCGAGGUCCCCAAAUAUUACAUCAACAAGACACCGGAGUACUACACAACUACGUAUGGUUUCCCAGCUAACUACACCAAGGCUUCCAAGUACUACACCUCCAAGGCACCGGAGGUGCACAACUACAUAUCAUGGUCAUAUGAAAGAAGAUAAAAGGCGAAAGGAAUAAGCAGUCGUGUGAUGUUAGAGUCGCUCCAAGUACUUCACCACAAAAGCUUCAGAGUGUUACACUACACCUCAACUUAUGUUGACCCGAGCUACUACACCAAAGCGCCUGAGUAGUAUACUGAGGCCCCUGAUUAACACCACCAAGGCACCGGAGUACUACACCACUACAAUCAGUCGAGUGGCCAUCUCCGAAAUGGCAACAACUGCUGUGCAGUAAUCGUCACCAACUACAUUCUUCGUCGUACCACCAGUUUUGCAAUCAACGUAAACUAUUUUGUCGUGCUGCAGUUGGGUGUCGUUUCGUUGGUGGAUGAGUCGACCACUGGUGUACUGAUGUCUCCUGGGUAUGGCGGAUACCAAAGCACGGCGCUGCCGUCUUACUAUGCAACAACAUCAUACGACAUGACCAGUUACUACACCGAGGCCCCCAAGUACUACACCACCAAGGAACCAGGUAGUGUUACACAACUACAAAUGCCGCGCCAGCUUAUUACACCGAGGCUCCCAAGUACUACUCUGCUCUCAGCUACUACACCGAGGUUACAGCUCAUUACACCACUGAAACAGUCGAAUAUUACACAGAAGUAAUCAUUGCAAUCUAUGGCGUGCUGCUGUUGAAUUUUUGAUGGCUGGAUUGGCCACUGGUGUGUCGAUGUUUCCUGGAUGUGGCGGGUAUCAAACCACAACGCUGGCGUCUGACUGCACGAAAAAAACAUACGCAACGACCAGUUACUACACUGAGGCCUCCAAAAGCCCCGAAGUAUUAUUCUUCCCCGAGCUCCACCACGAAGUUACUGAAGUGUUACACAACUAAGUAUGCAGUGCCAGGUUACUACACCGAGGCUCCCAAGUACUACUCUGCUCUUAGCUACUGCACCGAGGCUCCAACUUAUCACACCACCAACGGUCGAAAACUACACAGAAGUGUCAAAGUACUACUCUGCCCCGAGCUACACAACCCUAAAUGAGGCGGCC